rnacentral:lncRNA from 1 species
UGUGGCUCUGGCGUAGGCCGGUGGCUACAGCUCCGAUUCAACCUCUAGCCUGGGAACCUCCAUAUGCCGCGGGAGUGGCCCAAGAAAUAGCAACAACAACAACAACAACAACAAAAAGACAAAAGACAAAAAAAUAAAUAAAUAAGUAAAUAAAUAAAUGUAUAAAAAUGAACAGCACGGAUCAUUUCUGGUCUUUGGAGUAUUCUCGGGACUCAGGAAUGUGGAAGAAGUGUUUAUGCCUUGGGAUUGCUAUUGACUCAGAGAGGUUCUAAUGUGAGAAGACAACCCGUAAUUUAUUGCCCUUUGUAUUUAUUUUGCUUAUUAUGGAGGGAUGCUAGUUAUACCCUAUCAAGGUAUAAUAAGGUAUGUUGAUAGGUGUACAGAACCCUGCCCCACUAGCAUUAUUUUUUUCAUUUUGUCAUGAGAGUCAAUAAACUGUUCCAAUUUCCUGAUGAAAACUGUUCCCUGGCAGAGUAUGCAAGUGGUUUUCUUAACCCUUUUAUGCACAAAAGCCUUUAUAUUGAAAUCAGCCAACAAUCUUUCAUCAGUAUUUCUGUUUCCUGAGGUCCAAACUCAAUUCAUUUUCCUAUGGUUAGGUGCUUUCCACUUGUAGAUUUCCUAAAGGCAACCAGAAAUAGUGGGAUAUCACAGUGCAGUUUUAUGGGCAUCUCAUUUGGUGCUUUUUGAUAUGCGGUUCACCUCUAGGUGGGGUGGUUACAGGUGAUGUAGUAAGAGCAGAGUGGAGGAUCUUUACUUACUGUUCUUGAGUGUCAUGUGCAUGGGCCACUGACGGCAGUUUAGAAGUAGGAAGGUGCUCAGACACCUGUUGCUCUGGCCCCGCCUGAUGACUUAGUCUGGAUGGAUUAGGGAGAGAUAGAUGGAUGGAUGAAUGGGUGGAUAAAUAGAUAGAUAGAUAGAUAGAUUCUUAGUAUUCACUUUUUCCUUUACCACCUCCAUUUGGAAGGAAUCCAAAAAGGUCACCUCAUUUAAUCCUGGCAGCAGACUUUACCAUCUUUAUCAAAUACUCCUCCAUGUAUUUAUAAUGCUGUGCUAGAUGCUGUAUUCAGAGUAUGCCAAAUAGGGUUUCUUCUUGGCCUUGGCAAUUUACCUGCUGAUUUGGCUAAACUUGUGCUGGAUUUCCUUAAAAAAUAAAUAAACAAACAAACAAACAAAUAAAUAAAUAAAAUAAAAAGCAGAAUGCCUUCCAAGGCAUUGCUAAGAGCCAGUUUACUGAGAACUCACCACGGCCCAGCCUGGUACCAUGAGAUGUACACACACCUUGCACAGUUUUUGGUUACCUCCAGGGAAUAUGCAAGUGUCUGUUCUCUCAAUAUUCCUGGGGGAGAGCAUCUGUGAACCUCGUUUUAACAGGGAAAGAAGCAGAGGCUCUGACAAGUAAAGGAGCAUGCCAUCCUUGAUUCUUAAUUUCAUUUCCAGUCCCCUGAGCUAGCUGUGAUACUUGCUCUGAAACCGUGAGUAUAAUCUGUUACCCUGGGAGGAAUAACAAAAUACAGAGACAUGACCACGGAUUAAUAAAGAUCUGAUGAGGAGCAAAAACCUCUGAUCGCCUUAGGAAAUGCGGCUCCCAGGGAAGGAGACAUGAUGCUCCAGGUCUCCGGCCUCCCCUCGGCCUGUCCGUUUGAUUCUCAUUAGCCAAGAAGGCGCACACACCGGCUGCCCUGCUGCUCUGCCAAACGCCCCAUGCUGCUGACUCGUCUGGUUUUACCCUCCAUGAAUAUUUUUGGUCCCUCGUCUCAUUAGCCGGCCCCUUUAGUGAACAGUCUGAGUCACUUAUCAACCCUCCGGAUGCACAUAUUCUAGUCAUUCAGGAGCUCCUGUGCUUUUUGCCUCUGCACGGAGAUAGAACUAUGUUUUGUUUCUGUCAGCGCAGAUUUAGUGGCUUGAGGGAGAAUGGACUAGCACAGAAAAGGUUUUCUUAUUUGAUCCAUCCUUCUGCUUUUUUGCCUUUUAUAUGAUCUUUGGAACUUAAACUUACAGGAUUUAUUGAGCCCUGCAUUUUAAAAAGCCAUUUUUAAAGUUAGAGUUGAUUUAGUGUUGUGUCAAUUUCUGCUGUACAGCAUAGUAACCCAGUCAUACAUAUAUCCACGUUCUUCUCUUACUUUCUUCCAUCCUCUUCUAUCCCAAGAGAUUGGACGUGAUGCCCUGUACCGUACAGCAGGACCCCAUUGAAGCCAUGUUUGUUAUUGUCGCUUUGCUGGAUGAUUUGGUGAUGUUCUCUGCGAAUGUGUGUUUCUAGUAUUGCCCUGUGACCUUUAUGACUCCUAUAAUGAGGAAUUUAAAAAAUUAUUAUGACUCCUACUGCAGUCAUCAGUUUUCUGCAGAAAAUAGUUUUUUCUUUGAAUACCCUCUAUUUCCCCUCUGUGAGGAAUUUAUUCUCCCUUUGGUGCGUGGGGACAAAUUAUGUUCAUAACAGCCAUUAAUGAUACUGGGAAGAGUGUGUAAAUCUUUGAUGCAUUGAAAGCCAAAUGGUGCCCUGGUGGGUCUUUUUCCCUAUCUUACCUUGACGGAUUUUGUUUGGCAGCAUGUGCUAUAGGUUGUUUGGAGUGUCUGUCCUCAUAUUUUCUUCCGACUCUAUGCUCACGCCGUACACACAGAUGCAUGCGCUCACAGGUGUGGUCUUAGAAAGUGGAGACGUAAGUGGAAAACUAAGAUCUAACACGUCAUUUUAAUUUUCAGUGAGAGGCUGAAUUUGUGUCUGAGUUCUGGGUCUCUCCUCUGUGUUCCCACCAUACCCUGGGAUCCCGGGGUGGCCCUUCUGACACUGGGAAAUGGCUGUUUUUACUUGGUGGUGUCCCCAUGAGGAAUGGAUUUGGCAAUGCUGUACAUCUUCGAUUCUGAGUAUAAGGCAUGGCACGUGGUGGGUGCUUAGUUUAGAUUUUACUCCGUAAAGGAGUUAGUGAGUGAGAGAUUGGCCAAGAUGGAGUAGAAAGACCCCAACCCACCUCCACUCAUGGGCACACCAAAAUGACAACUAAUUAUAGAACCAUUAAUGAAAAAGACUGAAACCCACCAGGAAGGAUUUUCUACGACUAAAGACGUAAGGAAAGAGUGCAUGAACAGGGAAGCAAGGUGUCUGCUAACCCCACCUUGGCACUAUUGUCAUGCUAAAGUAAGUAUCUUGUGAGUUGCUGGAUAAAUAUGUGCUCUUAUUUCUAACGCAUGGAAUAUAGAAUAGGGAAAUGAAAAGAAUGCAGAAUUAGAUGUUAGAUACCGGGACCUUAUCCAGCUAAUCAUCUGGCUGUGUGUUUUAGGAAAUUUUCGUAAUCUCCCUAACAUGAGUUUUCUCAUUUGUAAUAGAGUGGUUCCUGAGAAGAUUGUUAAAAGAAUCAAGUGAGAUUCCACAUCCAUUUUGAUUGAGCAAACAUUUACAGAGUAUUCAUUCUCUCAGGGCUGGGCUCUGUGCAAAGUGCUGAGGAGAAUAAAACUCCACCACUGUUUUCCUGAAAUUCGGAGACUACGAGAGAAGUUCCUCUCAAAGGCUACAGUGCACCAAAGUCAAGGGGAUCUUGUUAGCACUGUUGGUUCUGGUGCCAUAGGUUUAGGGAGAACCUGAGAUUCCCCAGAGAUGUCAGUGCUGGAGGUUCCUGGACCACAUCUUGAUUAACUAAGGCUUUAGGGAGAUGUUGGCGAACAGGUGUUCCUGCAAAGUGGUAAGGGCUGCAACCCUGGCAUCCCAAAGUAGGAUGUGAGCAUAAAGAGGAAGCAGUCAGUUAGUGCUGGGGAGACGGAAGAGGCAGGCUGAGCUGUGAAGUGGGUCAUCUAGGGCCUGAAUUAGUCAAUUUACAGCCAGAAAAGUGGGAAAGGUCUUUGGUCAGAGCAGGCAACGUGGACCUGGACACUGGCUGGCUCCAGCAUCGCGUUAGGAACCAGAGGAGAAGAAUGGCAAGAAAGGAGGCUAGAACGCCCCCUUGGGGCCAGUGGGUGAACAGUUGGUCCUAUUUGCCAAGCUGAGACCUCAGACUCAACGCUGGAGUCAAUAUGCUGUCAAGAGAUUUAGCAGGGCCGUUAUCUUAUAUGUGUGAAAUAGGCAAUUUGCAUAACUGAAAGUAGAGUGUCCUGUGACACCCCCAGGUAGUAAAUGAAAAGAUUAAGACUGUAGGUGAGAGGCGGUGUUUUAGGAGAGCCUUGAACAGGCUUUGGAGAAAAACAGCAGGAAUUGAAUUCUGGCUCCACUAGAAGGAUUUUUCAGCUAAAAAUCUAUUGAGAAAUUUUAUUUGCUUUCUGAAUCUGAGUUUUCUUAUCUAUAGAGUGGAGGUAAUAAAGACCAUCUUAUGGAAUAAUUGUGAAGAUGAAUCCUUUAUGUCAUUCUUUGAAAUAUCAUUUUUUGGUAGAGUAUGCAGUUUGGGGCUUGCAGAAGGUGUUUGCUAACUUCUUAUUAUUAAUAAUGUUGACUUUGAGAAGUUUCCUCAUGGUGCCAUGGAUUAAGGAUCCAGAGCUGUCACCGCUGUGGCUCUGGUCACCGCUGUGGCACGGGUUCAUCCUCUGACCCGGGAACUUCCAUAUGCCACUGGUGAGGCCAAAUUUAUAAUAAUAAUAAUAAUAGUGUUGAUUUUGAGCUCUUAUAAACGCCUGCCUAGGACAUGACCUAGCGGAUUUGGACAGCAGCUAUGUUGAUGGACGUCAAGUGCCUUUUGCCCUGGGUGGUAUUCUGAUGCCUUCGGAGACCGUCUUAGAAGCUCAGUUGGUCCUGUGGGUGACAGGGAUCACCAGUGUUCUGCUUGGACAAUGCUCUGAGAGACUUUAGAGGGUGUUCUAUAAAGAGUGGGAAAGGUUUUCUUAAAUGUUCAAAAAUGAGGAAGACAAAGAAGUGUUUCUGGCCAAGGGAGAGAAGGUAGAGGAUUGCUGUAGUACCUGUCCAAGGAUUUAGUUCAACAAGACAGGUUCAGUUUAUUGGAGAAGGUUUUCCUGACCGAAGCAGAUCUGGGUGAGAUGGCUUUCCCUGUGCUCUGCAGCAUGGAGUGACCAUCUGCAGCACGACCUCGUCACCCUUUGCUUUCUCUACAUGACGUUGCGCUUCUGAAGGCAGGGACGGUUGUCUUCCUCAUUGUGGAUUUCCCACUGCCUGGAGCAGGGACACAAAGUUGGCUUUCAAUAGAUGUUUUCAUCUUCACAGUUCUGUGAGUCGUACUGUGCUCGCUAGAAAGGAAUGACGCUGGCAGAGGGGUUGAAGGAGGUCUGGGGUUUAGGGAGUUGUGGGAGUCUGCAGUGUCCUCUUCAGUUAGUCCAGUUCUGGCUCUGUGUCCUAUUUUGGAUACUGCUUUUGAGAUCCAAGUGUCCCUCUUGAACCCUGUCUGCAUCCACAUCUUGUUUCAUGUUUAUUUUGGCCGAUCACGUUAGAAUAAAGACCUUGUCUCUUCCAUAACUCCCCUUCCCAGAAACCUGAUGUCGUCUCUGAAUCCCAGCCUGGGAACUGGAGCCAGUGGGCCUCUAUGCUGCAUGUUGGAUGUGUCUUCCCUGGGGGACGACUCCACCUAUCCCUGGAGGGGAGGCGCUGAAUGCUCCUGAGCCCUUCAACUUGAUCUCUCCCUGGCUUCUAGCAGCUGCGGAGAAAUCCAGCACCUGCCUGUUAUCCUCUCCUUGGAUGCUGCGUUUGGUCGGAUAGACUGGGUCCUGUCUCAGCACCCAGGGUAGCAUCUCUCCAUUGAAGGGCUCUGAUUUCCAGGUUCUGACCCUUCCUGGUCUGUUUUGUUCAGUUAAUCCUGAGUGGACCAAGAUCAAAAGCAUGAUUACAUUAAAUGAAUAGGAGUUUUAUAGAAUGGAAUGUUUCUUCAUUUCCAAUAAGGAUUUUUAAAAGGUCAACUUUGCUUCAGUACAUGCCAAAGGGGUGGCAUUUAGAGAGUAGUAAAUAUCAUUUAAGAAAAUUCCCUUCCUAAAAUAGUGUAUCCUGCCUAGUACUGGCGAGAAGGUUAGAUCAAGGGUUUCUACUCUCAGGGGUAUUUCUCUGUUAGUUAUAGUCACAUGUUCCCUGACUUUAUUUCAUAUGCUAGCAUACAACUUUAGCAAAACUCGUGUCAGACCUGUUUCUAUGAAUAAAUUUACUGCGGUUCUUUUUGUGGUAUUAUCUCCUGCCAUCUAAUAAACAGAGGAUUUUUGAAGCAAGUUUUAUUCAUGAAAAUAAAAUACUUCAGCAUCAUGAAAGAAUGUUGAAUAAUGGGAAAAAAAAAAA